rnacentral:rRNA from 1 species
UAGUCCACGCCGUAAACGAUGUCAACUAGCCGUUGGAAAUUUUACAUUUUUAGUGGCGCAGCUAACGCGAUAAGUUGACCGCCUGGGGAGUACGGACGCAAGUUUAAAACUCAAAUGAAUUGACGGGGGCCCGCACAAGCGGUGGAGCAUGUGGUUUAAUUCGAUGCAACGCGAAGAACCUUACCAAUCCUUGACAUCCAGAGAAUUUUCUAGAGAUAGAUUAGUGCCUUCGGGAACUCUGAGACAGGUGCUGCAUGGCUGUCGUCAGCUCGUGUUGUGAAAUGUUGGGUUAAGUCCCGUAACGAGCGCAACCCUUGUCCUUAGUUGCCAUCAGGUAAUGCUGGGAACUCUAAGGAGACUGCCGGUGACAAACCGGGAGGAAGGUGGGGACGACGUCAAGUCAUCAUGGCCCUUACGACCUGGGGCUACACACGUGCUACAAUGGACGGUACA